rnacentral:tRNA from 1 species
GAGGACGUAACUCAGUCGGUUAGAGUGUUGGUUUGUCACGCCAAAAGUCGUGGGUUCAAGUCCCAUCGUUCUCG